rnacentral:rRNA from 1 species
AUGAGGACCAUGGCGCUGCUGCUGCUGGUGUCGCUGCUGGCGGCGGCCACGAGCAACACAUCUGACAACGUGCACAAUGAGAGGAGCGAGGAGGAGACGCGGCGGAUCUUCCUGGAGUGGAAGGCCGAGCUCGGCAAGACCUACAGCUCCCUCGCCGAGGAGGAGCGCGCGUACGACAUGUUCAAGCACCGCCUCCACGACAUCGACCAGUGGUGGCACAAGAGCGGCUACUCCGCCUGGUCCUGGGACAGGGAGAGGAGCGAGGAGGAGACUCGACGGAUCUUCGCGGAGUGGAUGGCCACCAACGACAAGAUCUACAGCUCCAUCGACCACGAGGAGCACCGCUACGCCAUAUUCAAGGACGCCCUCCGUCAAGUCGAUCGGAACAACGCCGGAUAUGCCUUAGGGGUCGACACUAACCACCAGGGCAUCAACGGCUUCACCGAUCUCUCCCUGGAGGAGUUCAACGUCGUUUGCUCCGGGUUCAUCCCGGAGGGCUUCGAGCCAUCGCCGGCCGACUUAAGAAGGGAUGCCGAGAUCCAGGAGCGCUUGCGGCUAGUAUAUGCCCCUCCAUCCCUUUGGGCUCAUUGA